rnacentral:ncRNA from 2 species
AGAUAAUCUUAGCAAAAUAAGCGAAAGCUUAUGACGCAAAGCUAUAGGGCCUGUAAAAUGGCAGCCAGUUGCACUG